GAGUAUAAAGUUUAUGUAUUAAAUAUUGGUCUUGUAAAUCAAAGAAAGAAUAAGUUCUAUACUCU
rnacentral:tRNA from 1 species